UUAGAGCUACAGUGCCUCCACAACAAGGGCGGAAAUCACAGAACCGCUCUCCCUCCUAAGGAAACCCCAGAAACAUCCAAACCGCUAGAGCCAGCAGAUGACUUGGAUCCCAAGACGAUGCUCAGAAUCACGCCAGGAAUCAAUCGCCUGAUCAUCACCGUUUCAGUCCUCUUCUCCUUCAUUCUCGGAAUCCCAUUGAUAUACAAAUCCGUGGAAAUCCCAUUGAUUUCUAAGACUAAUAGCUUUGCAUCUCCAGUUAGUUAUCAUGCAUUCACCAUCUUAUGUUUUCUUAUGCUAAUCUUCCUGCCAAUUUCAAUAGACGUUCUCCUGGCAGCUCUACGAGAAUGGAGAAGAUACAAGCAAGAAAAUAAGAGGUAGUUAGCACGGAAGACCAAAGUGAACAAAGCAUCUUGAUCGUAGUCGACACGUAGCACUUUUCUGUUAUUUGUGAUACAUGCGUGUUUCUUGCGGCCUUGGGGAGUAGACCAAGGGGUAAGGAAGGGAUGCAUCGAAAAGGCAGAAGAUGACCUUCUUGAGUACGUGCCAUUGAAUUUGAGGAGGCGGCUGCGGUGUUCAGGGCGGCGGAAUUAUUUGUUAGUGUUAGCCGUUCGGUUCCCUUUUCAGAUUCAUUAGGGAUGUAUUUGCCCAAAUAUAUAUUUCAUCUCAAAACCGCCUUGGGGGAUCUUUAAUCA